rnacentral:rRNA from 1 species
CAGUAGCCACGGGAAUACGUAGGUGGCAAGCGUUGUCCGGAAUUAUUGGGCGUAAAGGGCUCGCAGGCGGUUUCUUAAGUCUGUUGUGAAAGCCCCCGGCUCAACCGGGGAGGGUCAUUGGAAACUGGGAAACUUGAGUGCAGAAGAGGAGAGUGGAAUUCCACGUGUAGCGGUGAAAUGCGUAGAGAUCGGAAAGAACACCAACGGCGAAAGCACUCUGUUGGGCCGACACUGACACUGAGAGACGAAAGCUAGGGGAGCAAAUGGGAUUAGAUACCCCUGUAGUCCCUGUCUCUUAUAA